rnacentral:misc_RNA from 1 species
GAUGAAGAACGUAGCGAAAUGCGAUAAGUAGUGUGAAUUGCAGAAUUCAGUGAAUCAUCAAAUCUUUGAACGCACAUUGCGCCCUUUGGUAUUCCAAAGGGCAUGCCUGUUCGAGCGUCAUUUGUACCCUCAAGCUUUGCUUGGUGUUGGGCGUCUUGUCUCUAGCUUUGCUGGAGACUCGCCUUAAAGUAAUUGGCAGCCGGCCUACUGGUUUCGGAGCGCAGCACAAGUCGCACUCUCUAUCAGCAAAGGUCUAGCAUCCACUAAGCCUUUUUUUCAACUUUUGACCUCGGAUCAGGUAGGGAUACCCGCUGAACUUAAGCAUAUCAAUAAGCGGAGGA